rnacentral:rRNA from 1 species
GUAGGUGGCAAGCGUUGUCCGGAAUUAUUGGGCGUAAAGCGCGCGCAGGUGGUUCUUUAAGUCUGAUGUGAAAGCCCCCGGCUCAACCGGGGAGGGUCAUUGGAAACUGGGGAACUUGAGUGCAGGAGAGGAAAGUGGAAUUCCACGUGUGGCGGUGAAAUGCGUAGAUAUGUGGAGGAACACCAGUGGCGAAGGCGACUUUCUGGCCUGUGACUGACACUGAGGCGCGAAAGCGUGGGGAGCAAACAGGGAUUAGAUACCCUGGUAGUCCACGCCGUAAACGAUGAGUGCUAAGUGUUGGGGGGGUUUCCCGCCCCUCAGUGCUGCAGCUAACGCAUUAAGCACUCCGCCUGGGGAGUACGGUCGCAAGACUG